UGGUAAUUGCAUAGCAUUUUAGGCCUACCCUGGCAAAUAAAGGGUUCCUUAGGUCACGUUUCAUUUCGAAUUGCACAUUUUAUCGCUUUAAUAAAUGGCAUCAUGCAUAAACCCUAGAAAGGGAAUGCCAUUUAGGGGAUCCCGUGUUAGGAAUAAGCCACCUUGUGUCUCGGAUACUUAAUCCAAUGAGACUUGCACGUUUACAUUUUGUACCAUCCAAAGGGGUAGUGCACAAGGUAAGGUAGGAUCCGAUCAUUUUCAUAGAGUGAUCUUUGGAAUAUGAGCAUCUAAUAAUCACUUUUUGGCCAUUUUAUCAAAAAUUGGUAAAAAUCCCUUGCGUGAAGGACAUUAAUUUGAAGAAAUUCACAAAUGAUUCCUCCUUUUGAG
rnacentral:lncRNA from 1 species